rnacentral:misc_RNA from 1 species
AAAGUCGUAACAAGGUUUCCGUAGGUGAACCUGCGGAAGGAUUAUUAUUGUAGAGCUUCAGCCCUCUCGAGAUAGAACCCUUGCCUUUUUGAGUACCUUUCGUUUCCUCAGCGGGCUCGCCCGCCAAUAGGGACCACAAUAAACCCUUUGUAAUACCUGUAAUCGUCUAACAAAACAAACAAAAAUUAAAACUUUCAACAACAGAUCUCUUGGUUCUA